CUGCAAUGAUGUGAGAAUUUCUUCACCUGAUAUUAUUCAUGAAGAUAACACAAUCGAGCUUUUUAAAACUGAGCAGA